rnacentral:tRNA from 1 species
UCCGGCUUAGCUCAGUCGGUAGAGCGGGUGGCUGUUAACCACCAAGUCGUUGGUUCGAGUCCAACAGCCGGAGCCA